rnacentral:rRNA from 1 species
AGGGGUAGCACUACAGGAUUCCCCUAGUAACUGCGAGUGAAGAGGGAAGAGCUCAAAUUUUGAAUCUGGCAGCCUUUGGCUGUCCGAGUUGUAAUCUAGAGAAGUGUUUUCCGCGCUGGACCGUGUAUAAGUCUCCUGGAAGGGAGCGUCGUAGAGGGUGAGAAUCCCGUCUUUGACACGGACUACCAGUGCUAUGUGAUGCGCUCUCGACGAGUCGAGUUGUUUGGGAAUGCAGCUCAAAAUGGGUGGUAAACUCCAUCUAAAGCUAAAUACAGGCGAGAGACCGAUAGCGAACAAGUACCGUGAGGGAAAGAUGAAAAGAACUUUGGAAAGAGAGUUAAACAGUACGUGAAAUUGCUGAAAGGGAAACGCUUGAUGUCAGUCGCGUUGGCUGGGGAUCAACCUUGCUUCUCGCUGGGUGUACUUCCCGGUCGACGGGUCAGCAUCAGUUUCAGUCGCCGUACAAGGGCGAGAGGAACGUGGCACUCUUCAGAGUGUGUUAUAGCCUUUCGUCGCAUGCGGUGGGUCGGGACUGAGGAGCUCAGCACAGCUUCUUGCUUGUGCUCAGGAUGCUGGCAUAAUGGCCUUAAGCGACCCGUCUUGAAACACGGACCAAGGAGUCUAACAUGCCUGCGAGUGUUUGGGUGGUAAACCCGAGCGCAUAAUGAAAGUGAAAGUUGAGACCUCUGUCGUGGAGGGCAUCGACGCCCGGACCUGAGUCUUUGACGACGGAUCUGCGGUAGAGCAUGUAUGUUGGGACCCGAAAGAUGGUGAACUAUGCCUGAAUAGGGUGAAGCCAGAGGAAACUCUGGUGGAGGCUCGUAGCGAUUCUGACGUGCAAAUCGAUCGUCGAAUUUGGGUAUAGGGCGAAAGACUAAUCGAACCUCUUUGCC